GAUGAAGAACGCAGCGAAAUGCGAUAAGUAAUGUGAAUUGCAGAAUUCAGUGAAUCAUCGAAUCUUUGAACGCACAUUGCGCCCGCCAGUAUUCUGGCGGGCAUGCCUGUUCGAGCGUCAUUUCAACCAUCAAGCCCCCGGCUUGUGUUGGGGACCUGCGGCUGCCGCAGGCCCUGAAAACCAGUGGCGGGCUCGCUAGUCACUCCGAGCGUAGUAGUUACAUCUCGCUCAGGGCGUGCCGCGGGUUCCGGCCGUUAAAUGAAAAGCCUUCGUAGCCCAAGGUUGACCUCGGAUCAGGUAGGAAGACCCGCUGAACUUAAGCAUAUCAAUAAGCGGAGGA
rnacentral:misc_RNA from 1 species